GAUCCGGUGCACUAGUGGUUUUAGCGUUCGCCUCGAAUGCGGGAGGUCACAGGUUCGAACCCCGGCCGAGUCA